rnacentral:rRNA from 1 species
ACAAUGGGCGCAAGCCUGAUGGAGCAACACCGCGUGAGUGAAGAAGGGUUUCGGCUCGUAAAGCUCUGUUGUUAAAGAAGAACACGUAUGAGAGUAACUGUUCAUACGUUGACGGUAUUUACCAGAAAGUCACGGCUAACUACGUGCCAGCAGCCGCGGUAAUACGUAGGUGGCAAGCGUUAUCCGGAUUUAUUGGGCGUAAAGAGAGUGCAGGGCGGUUUUCUAAGUCUGAUGUGAAAGCCUUCGGCUUAACCGGAGAAGUGCAUCGGAACUGGAUAACUUGAGUGCAGAAGAGGGUAGUGGAACUCCAUGUGUAGCGGUGGAAUGCGUAGAUAUAUGGAAGGAACACCAGUGGCGAAGGCGGCUACCUGGUCUGCAACUGACGCUGAGACUCGAAAGCAUGGGUAGCCGAACAGGAUUAGAUACCCUGGUAG